AAUGUUUGUGUUUACUUCUUUGGGUUUAUUAGGAAUACAUUUUUGCCAGUUGAAAAUAACCUUUUCAUUUCUUCUUCUAGGAUUUUAAACUCCGGUGCUUCUCACCAGGUCCCAGGACUUCACCCACCAGCCGUAAGCAAUGGAAAAGAGGAAGCCUGAUGCGGAGAACGGAUUAUCGAGAGAUAAUGGGAUCCUGAAGGAAGGAGUGACCCAGAAGUCAAAAGAAGGAAGAAUUUCAAGGUUAGACUUCUACAUCAGUGUGAGCGGGGACUUCAUUCAUUCAUCAUGACGUGAGCGACUUCUCUGCUGAGGCAGGCCUCCCUGGGUUGGGACUGAAUGCUGUUCUUUCUGGAAUGACCGAGGACGUCCUCUCAGAAGCAGAGACGCUUCCUGUCUCCUUGGCCACAUUUCUGCUCUGAGAGCAGGGUGCUCCUGUCUGUGCCUUCUCACCACCACCACGUCAGCUUUCAGGCCUGCGGACCCUUCUUCUGUCCCGUCCUCUGGCCCCAGCAUCUCAGAGCCCACCUUCCCCACUGGAUCCCAGGCCCUGCUUCCCACUAAUGCCUUUGAGCCUGCUGGCUGUGGGUCCUCCCUGCUUACUGCUUCCCGCGAGGUUCUGCCUUGGCAGCCCUGGUCCUGGUUUCUCCCCAUCCCCCUCCUCUCUAAAGUCCUGGCAGACGAAACUAGAACAAAGGGACCAAAGGGAAGGGGUAAGAACUCUGGAAGAGGCACCUGCUGUCAUCUGCCUUCUCCUCUGGGCUCUGGCCUCUUUGAAGAGCUGUCCCCAUACACUGCACUGUUAACAUUCACCCGCUGAUCCGUAGCACACGGCCUUCCCUUCCCCACCAUCUGUGCGCCAACAUAACUGCCUGGCUGUGCACACUGCAGACUGUAAAUAAACCAGUAGUCUCAAC
rnacentral:lncRNA from 1 species